CAAUAGCGUAUAUUAAAGUUGUUGCAGUUAAAAGGCUCGUAGUUGGAUUUCUGGUAGGAGUGACCGUUCCGAACUUGAUUGUUCGUGUAUUGUGUUUUCUCCAGCCAUCCUUGUGGAGAACUUUUCUUGCAUUAAUUUGUAGGGAUUGGGACCCGCAUCGUUUACUGUGAAAAAAUUAGAGUGUUUAAAGCAGGCAAUCGCUUGAAUACAUUAGCAUGGAAUAAUAAGAUAGGACUUUGGUACUAUUUUGUUGGUUUGCAUACCAAAUUAAUGAUCAACAGGAACAGUUUGAGGAUAUUCGUAUGAACAUGUCAGAGGUGAAAUUCUUGGAUUUUGAUCAGACGAACUACUGCGAAAGCAUUUAUCAAGGAUGUUUUCAUUAA
rnacentral:rRNA from 1 species